UACAGAGGAGCCAAGCGUUGUCCGGAUUGACUGGGCGUAAAGCGCACGCAGGCGGGGUGUGCGCGUGGGGUGUGAAAUCUGGCCGCUUAACGGCCAGGCGCCAUCCCAUACGGCACGCCUGGAGUGAUGCAGAGGUCGAUGGAAUUGCCGGUGUAGUGGUGAAAUGCGUAGAGAUCGGCAGGAACACCCAGGGGGGAAACCAGUCGACUGGGCAUCUACUGACGCUGAGGUGCGAGAGCGUGGGGGAGCGAACCGG
rnacentral:rRNA from 1 species